AGCAAAUCAUAACAAUGAGCCGAUAUUUCUGAAUUUGAUGUGGAAGCAUGCAAUGUCCUUCAAAGUUCUCUGAUUGCU